ensembl:lncRNA
CAGACAUCUGUAGGCUGCACCUGGCGAUCACACCUUUGUUUUCCCCUUUCUUGCAUGCCAGUGCUCCUUCUGGCACCAAUAUCGAUCAUUUAGUGCUUCAGACUUUGAUGUCCUGUGGGUUGAUUUUGCAGUAUGGGAAGUGACAGAAAGCCCAAGUAUAAUUUGCUUUUAUUUACACAUCACUGGCAGCUGGGAGCAGCAGAAGGCAAUUCCUUGCUCAGCAGUCUCAGCCCAGCACCAGUGCCUGAUUUCCAGGGAGCCAUUUCUGCCUGAAGAAUUGAGUCUAAUCAAGGCCCAAGGCAGAGAACACACACUCCUGCUGCUUGCAAAACCAUGUUCUCCCUCAAGCAAUGCCUCUGCACGGAGCCUGGCAGACCAAUGCUAGAGGUACACGGUGUCCCUAUCUGAAGCUAAAAUAGAAGGACCAGCACAAAAAGCCUUUUGCAUGCUUUGUUUUUCUUGUAACAAACAACCGGACUUGCCAUCUCCUGAGAUACAAAAUUAUUGAAUAUAUGCAGAGAUAGUAUUGGUGGUUAUAGUCUAAAGAAACCCACAUUUAAGGUUCUGGACAGAUUGCCUUUGUGUUUAGUUUAGGGAAUAAGCAAAGGAUAACCACCCAUCCUUCAGACAAAGGGAACAGUGCAAACAUUGUGCUGAGACACCGAGUGCUGUCUUCCAGCAGUUACUGCAUGAACAACAAAAUACAUCCCUUCUAAGUGUCCAAUCUUAAAAAAAAGGCUUUCCAAAACUUACCUUUCACAAACAGUGAGAGCCCUCCAGUGCCAUCUCCAUGUGAUGCUGCUGGCACCCUAGCUGAGCUGUUUGCCGUUGCAGCCAUGCUCUGCAGGGAAAAGCAAAUGGAUGCAAUGCUUGACUGAAGGAAGGCCUUUCAGUGAUUUGGAAGACUGAGCAGAGGUGGCAGGGGGAGGAUUUCCCAGCUCUGCUGUGUAUGUUGAGGUGUGAGAGUUGUAUGUCUUCCACAACUGUUCAGAUUAAUCCUGAGACGUGACUGCACCAGAGAUCCCUGCUCUUUGUUCUUACGGACACAGACGUUUUUAAUUUCACUCUUGCAUUCUGUUAGCCACCAUGAAUUGUUCCAUCAUGGCCGAAAGGGUGAAAGCUGUUUUUCCAUCUGUGCCUGUAAGCCAUGCAAACUCUAGCUUUUGAUAUAAAUAAGCCCGAGCGACAAGAUCCAACAGAUCUCCAGAAUUUUCUGCCUUUACCAGCAUCGCUAAUUCACGCGCUAUAAAGUUAUCAGCAUAAGACUAAUAAAGCAGAGAGUUCUAUAAAAGUGGCAAGUGAGUCAUUGCAAUUGCUUCAGGCAGCGUAACCUACUUCUGCAUUCAGACACAGAUGGGAAAGAUUUACUCAUUGUCUCCAUUUUAGGUGCCUGCAAAAGAAGGCAAAGCACAAAAGGAAUCUUGCUUCCUCUCCAGUUUGUCCUCCCCUUCAACCCCAGCAGCAAAAAAAUCAAAUCAGCUCCCUUUAAAGGAGAGGGAUCUCAGUGGGACUGCACUGUAAGGCAAAAUAGACCUUUAUUAACUAAAAUUAUAUCGCAGUUUAGGGGAGAAGCAUAACAAUCUAAAGACAUUGUGAAUUUCAGAAACCCAAAAUAUAGACAUUUUAAGAUGUUUUUCAUAUUUAUUAGAUCUGGAAAAUGUGUUACUUUAGAGAUAAGGCAAAAGUUUUCAUAGUGAGAGACGUUUUCUGGCCUCUCUCUGCUCUGAUUUAAGUGAUGCAGCACCCAAGGGCUCUGCUUGUUUAUUAAAGGCAUCUGGUUUAUUUCCAGAAUAAAAAUAAAAAUUUUAAAAAAACAACCUUAAAUAAAUGCAUGGCAGAACUGGAAGGACGGGGUUAUUUAAGUCUGUGCCAUGGCUGGAGUCUGGCCCUCCCCUCUCUGAAUGUGGCUGUUGCUCACACUGGCAGCUGUGCUAACUCCUAGAGCUUCUUUACUGAGUGAGAGGCACGGAGUACAUCUACUGUGCAGUUCACAAGUGUGGUUUUAGCUUGUGCAAACAAACCUGAACGAGCUGUAAAGCAGGAACAAAACUGCCUAAAGCCAGCGGAUGAGCUCUCGGCUGCCUGAGCCCAAAGUGCCCCAGCUGUAGGCAGACGCAGGCCAGGUGGUGGGAUACCACUUUGGGUACAUCUGUAUGGGGCAGCAUGGGCCUGAGAUACCCAAGAGCUGACAGGCUUCUGACUUGUGUAUAUUGCUGCUUUCUGCCCAAAACCUUAUCCAGCUGAAUUCUGAGAAAUUGCUUUAUUUGCCUGGCAUAUUUGAGUACCCACUGUAUCUGUCACCAAUGGAAGGUGCAGUGCUUCUGCACACAGAUCGUGUCAUGCACAGUAAGGCCAACAUUGUCUCUCAACAUCUGACCAAAUGUUGUAAGGCUGCAACCUUGACUUCUUGACCUAUUCACAGCAGGAAUGGAAGCCUUGGUCAGAAGAUCCCAAGCCAGACUGGAUAUGCUGUGCCUCAGCCCCAGCAGGAGAGGAGGCCAGGAUGCUGCUCCCCAGGAACAUCAGUUUUAGAGCAGAAGCCACAUGAUUGCCCUCCGGGUGCAUUAAACACAUCAGAUUUUGGAAGCAUCAUACUUACUGUGACUGUAAUGUGGUGAUCAGCUGGGUCAAUGCCCAGCUGAGGCACACUAAUCAUAACAAGCUACUUGCUGCACUUGGGUAAGACUCCUUACUAGGGCAAAACUCCUGAUCCAUCAUAUAGAAUCAUAGAAUCGCUAAGGUUGGAAAAGACCCACGGGAUCAUCCAGGCCAACCAUUCACCCUUCACCAAUGGUUCUCACUAAACCAUGUCCCUCAACACAACAUCCAAAUGCUCUUUGAACACCACCAGGCUCGGUGACUCCACCACCUCUCUGGGCAGCCCAUUCCAGAGCCUGACCACCCUUUCAGAGAAGUAGUAUCAUAGAAUCAUAGAAUCGCUAAGGUUGUAUUUCCUAACGUCCAGCCUGAACCUUCCCUGACGCAGCUUGAAGCCAUUCCCUCUAGUCCUACCACUAGUCACACGAGAGAAGAGGCUGACCCCCAGCUCACUACAACCUCCCUUCAGGUAGUUAUAGAGAGCAAUAAGGUCCCCCCUGAGCCUCCUCUUCUCUAGACUGAACAAUCCCAGCUCCUUCAGCCGCUCUUCAUAAGGCCUGUGCUCCAGACCCCUCACCAGCUUAGUUGCCCUCCUCUGGACACGCUCCAGGGCCUCAAUGUCUUUCUUACAGUGAGGGGCCCAAAACUGGAUACAGUACUCCAGGUGCGGCCUCACCAGUGCUGAGUACAGGGGAAUAAUUACUUCCCUGUUCCUGCUGGCCACACUAUUUCUGAUACAAGCCAGGAUGCCGUUGGCCUUCUUGGCCACCUGGGCACACUGCUGGCUCAUGUUCAGUCUAGCGUCAAUCAACACCCCCAGGUCCAUUUCCUCUACACAGUCUUCCAGCCACUCUGCCCCAAGCCUGUAGCGUUGCCUGGGGUUUGUUGUGGCCAAAGUGCAGGACCCGACAUUUGGUCUUGUUGAAUCCCAUCCCAUUGGCUUCAGCCCAGCUAUCCAGCCUAUCCAGAUCCCUCUGUAGGGCCUCGCUACCCCCAGGCAGAUCAACACUUCCAGCCUGCUUGGUGUCAUCUGCAAACUCACUGAGGGUGCACUCAAUGCCCUCAUCCAGGUCAUCAACAAAGAUAUUAAAGAUAUUAAAAAUAUCUUUUCUUGAACAGACAAUGAAGAGACAGUCCAUACUCUGGGCAACUGCUACUUAAAAAUUCAUCUGCUUUUCAAAUCCCAAUAUGCCCAGUGUGGAGGGAAAGGAGAGAGGUACCUAACUGUCUUCAGAUGUGUUUCAUUUCCCCUGUCAUUUCAUGAAACCUGAAGCCAGAAUACUAUGAAAAGUGCAUUUGAGGCUUGAGUUUUCUUUCUUUUUAACAGUCUACUGCCUGCUUUUAAUGUUUACUGAGCUUUUGGCUGUAAAAAUGUAGCUGCAGCACAUGGUUGAGAGGUUUUUCUCAGUCUGUAGUCUCUGUCACAAAGGAAUUCCUCCUCCAGACUCCUUUGCCUUCCAUUCUGAGCUCCUCAGAGACCUCUGCUGCGGUCCCUGGCAGCAGAUCAAGGGGAAACAGCUUCAGUAAAAGCUCUCAUUGUAGCAACAAAACAUCAUUGAUCAACCAUGUUCAGUGCCAACAGCUUUUUGAAUCUGGCAUUUUUAAUGCCCAGUUUCUGCUUUCAUUCAAUUUUCAGGUAUCCUAUGUAAAGAAAGCCUCCUGAGAGGUUUUUUGUUGGUGUUGUUUUUGUUCCAUCCUCUGAGUUGAGUUUGAAACAAAAAUCUGCAGCUGAGUAGCCCUGAAAACAUCAGUCCAAAUCCAUUUCAGGCCAAGCCUGGCAGAGCCUUUUCCUGCCCUUCAUGUCUGUAGGGAAGGCAGAAGAAAAUAUGCUGAAGCACCAGCUGAAUAGUCGAACACCUGGCAGAGAGAGCUGCUCUGCUCAGCAGAGCAGCUACAGCACAGGCAGUCAACAGCUGCAGGAGAAAGGCAGCGACAUCAAGAUGCACUCCAUUGAAAACUGGUAAUUGAUCUGUUCUGCCACGACACACUGAAACACCAUCCUUCCAUGCUGGAAUUGCAGGCAGAGUGGGAAUGACUGACUGUUAUGAAUGCUAUUUGCAGAAUACCAAUGCAGUGCCCUUUCUCCACUUAAUAGAAAUUUAGAGUUCUUCACAGGGUAAGUGACUGUGCAAUCAGAAUAAACCAAAACUCAUUCAGAAAGCUACGGUAAAUCCCAGCACCGAGCAAGGUAUCCCUCACCCGGGACCAGACAGCCAUUUAGGAGUCCCCAGUUUCCCUACACUCCUCCUGUAUCUGGCUGAAAUUCUCCACACAGGCAACUGAGCUGCCAGUGGCUGGUUCAGAGUGUUGGGCACACAGGGCUGAAGACAUCCAUAUUUGGUGGGACAGACCCUGGGUUAGUCUUCAAACUCAGGGCAAUUCUUUCAACUAAACUGGAGAUAUUCCGUUUUUAUAUCUACAUCCUUGCUGGCAGAGCUCAGCCUAUUGCAGAGAAAGAUUCUGAUCUUUCUUUCAUCCCCAUGGGACACUGACUUCAGUAAAAUACUCCAUGCUUCAUUUCCCAGUGUUGCAAAACAACUUAAUGGAUCACACACUUAGGGGAGCGUUUCCAUUAAUUUCUAGCUAACAUUCCACCUCUCAUAGCACCAAAAUGUCAGCGGCUUUAGCCUUUUCAAAGCAUUUCCUCCAAGAGCACACGAAGUAAAAAGAAGGCAACUCGCAGUCUUCCUUAGCUAGAUCCAACCUUAUGUCACCUCUGAGGAUGGCGGAAGAGUUACACAAAGCCCCUUUCACUUACCUUUCCUCUGAGCACUUAGCCCUUGAUGACUGACAUUUGUUUGUGUGUGGCCCUGAUCCUCUUCCUCUUUGCACAGAUAUCAAGCACGGAGCUUUGCUAUAGUUGACGUCAGUGGCAUUUUAUCAGCCAAAGAGCAGACAGAAGUGCAGGUACAGCUGACAGAGGAGGCAGGUUGUGCGAGCAAAAAUAUGCAUUUGCUGUUACCAAAAUGGAACUUAUGCUUGUCUCUUUGCAGCUAUAGUCCUUUGAAGCAUUACAGAACCCUGUGAUAACCUAGAUGUUAGAGACGGUAUAAUCACUUAGAGAGUUAAUGUGCAUAAACACAUAUAAAAUGAUUGUUUGCAUUAUUCUUGCACAGUCUUUGUACUGUAUUACUGCAUAAAUCAGAUCUAUUUUACUUUCAUUUGCUAAUCCUUCUACUCUUUUGGGAGCAUCUCAGUGAAUGAAUACACAUUCCAUAUCCUUACAGCCUUAAAAACAAAUGUAUGUUCACAGAUACAUCUUCGAGAAUUUUUUUGCCACAAAGCAUAUUAUUCAAUGUAAUUAUGUAAGAUGCAUGACAAAUCUGAGUGCAAAGGGGCGUGUCAGACAGCAAGUCUUAACAGGAAAACUCAAAGCUUACACAUAGGUCCUGUACUUCUUUGGUGGCAGCUGCAGUCCUCUGAAGGUCAUAAUCCGUCCUGUCUUGCUCCUGCUGGUACCCAAGAGCAUAUGGCAGCCUUUGCAUGGAUGAGACAGUCACAAGUCAUCCCCAUGCAGAAACCAGGAGAAAAAUCAGCAGGAUCAUUUGGAGCAUAUGGAUCCAACGAGGCUUGAAACCUGCCUGAGUGGAGGAGUACGGCAUGCUCAGCUGGUAGCAAACGGCUGUAUUUCUCAGAGAGGAUGAUCCUGCGAAAAGUGGGGUGGAAACUGGUGGCUCCCAGAGGGAUAAGGCUCAUGCUAGCUGGAAGUGAAGGCUACUUUAUAUAGUGAGAGGACAACCCAGAGGGAGUAUGUGAGAUGCUGCCUCAGUAUUAAGCAAUAAUUUAGCAGCCUCCUGUGGGGAAAAAUCCGUGUCACAUUAGGGAGAAGCUGCAUGGCAGACAAGAGAUGUGUUUACAAAUAUUUUUCCUUUGAUUAUUUAGAGACUUCUUGCAAAGCCACAUUGUACUUUGCUUUGGACACCACAGCAGACAAACACCGACUCAAAGGGUUCAUAAAACGCUAAAAGGGGCACGAAGCACACAUGGAAGUUCUUCUUGCAAGGCCAAAAUCCAAUGGCAGAUACAAAGUAUGUACAUAGUUUUCUUUCAUGAUAACAUAGUCCUGUCUGUGUUGGUUAUCAUGCACCCAGAGAGCUGCCUCGCAGGCACGCUGCAUCUUUUUGCCAGCCUUUGACUACAUUUAGCAUGUAGAACUGGUUCUGUACAGGCACACGUUAUAGAGGCACCAGCCCUCACCAUAUAGAACAGUUUGACAGUUCUUACUUGCUGCACUAAGGUCAGCCAUGGCUCUCUGUACAUAUUUGUAUUUCAAUCCUGGCCCAGCAGCCUUGCAGAUGGAUGCAGAGCUCACGUAUGGCAUGGACACCAGCGGUGCUGGGGAGGAGGGACUCUGUGGUGUCCAAAAGUGAUUAGCUUUACUUCCAAAAGGGGAAUUCAGAGAGAAAAUGCAUUGCAGCACUUGGUCCUGGCACUAGCUGUAAUGUAGAUGUCUGUCUGAUGGGCACUGGUCUAAGACCAACAAAAUGCGAUUCAUACAGGCCACUGAGCAGCUUCUCAUGUUAAUGACUUUUGAAUGCCAGUGGCCUGAAUUGCAUCUGUAUUUUAUUAACACUGUUUACAGAGGGAGUAGAAUUCCAGAUGGAGCAUAAAGUACCUUUUUUCUUGUUCUUCCCAUAAUUGCAAAUGCUCAAAUUGCACUUGUAGCUGUUUUAUGACUUGACAUUGACCUUACACUCUUUGCAUUUUCUACAGCGGAACACUGCAAUUUCUAGGGAGUAGAAAGGUUAUACAGAACUGGUCAAUGCUCUGUGUGAUGCAAAUAAAAAUAAAGUUGUGAGUGUUUAAGCAAGUAUUUCUUUCCAUUUGGUCUUUGAAUUUUUAUUGCUUCCAGCCAGGUCACUUGAAAUGAAAUUGUCCUUCACAGUUCAAGCUAUGGUUGUCUUACGGAUGGCAUAAAGACAGUGCUUUAAGGUCAUUAGAGCCCUGAAGAUGUUAGAGCAGUCCAGAUGAUUUGCAUCUCUAAGGGAAAGGCUUUUAUUUCUGAACUGUUCACCUAAUACUGAUUUGAAAAUGUACCUUUUUCUUCUUCUUCUCAUGAAAACGCCUGUGCCAAGAAUUAGAAAAAGCCUUACUUACAGCCUUGAUGCGUCACCUCUCCAGCAGCUCCCUGACCUGCUGCACUUUGGGUGGCAAUGAUGGCAAAGAAAGAAAGGAGCACUUUGGGCCUCAGAGCUACCAUCGAUCUCAGACAAGGUGAGGGGAAGGAGGCGGGUGCCUCAGCUCCAGAUCCGGGACCAGAUGCACCAUCUGCUUUGUACUGCACUAUCCUGAUGGGAAGACAGCCAUUUCCACUGACAGCUCUGGAGUGGAGGAGACUUUUUCCACUUUCCUGCUUGCUCCUAGUGGGGAAUGCUGUGCAGCCUCCUGGAAGUUGGAAUGCUUAUUGCGUGUGUUACUGAUGCUCCUGCACGUCCCCUGUCAGGUAGGAGUGGUGGUGCCUCUACACCUCAGCUUCCAUCUGCACCUUCCCUUUCAGCAGUGACCUUGGGGUGCGAUGGGAAAGCAUGGAAGUGCAGAUCAAAAACUCUUCAAGAAACGCAGCUAGGAAGCAAGCAGCAUACUGUAGUAUGUGGCUGCUGGAGCUGAGACACGACUGUCCUCUCUGACACGACUGCAGGGAAUCCGCGCAAUGCUUCUCAGAAAUAAUUUGUUUCUGCGCUGGAUCUACUUUUGCACAACGGGGAUACUUGCCUCUAUCAAACCGGUGGUCGAAAUCCGAGGUCGGCGCGUGCAGGAGGAGAGUGAACUUCCCGGGGAUGCCUUUAGAUGUCUCCCUUCCUCGUCUGUUCGGCGAUGACAGCAGGGGCUGGGCUGCCUGCGGGUUGGGCUGCAGAGCAGUCAGAUUGCCUCGGAGGGUAAACGAGGAUUUUUGAAAACCUUCUAAAGCAAAAGUUAAUGGAAAAGAGAGCCUCGUUGCUCACAGAUACGUCAUUACUUUCUCAGGCGUUUAUGAACAAAUAAAAUGCAUCUACUACAUGGGAGAAGAGUUCUUCCCCUGUGCCCCACGCUCCAGCCCUACCCCCAAGCAAUUGUCUUACUUAUUACAAUUUCAACAUCUCUUCUCUUUGAAGUACAACCUGUUGUUUCGUUAUAUUAUUUCCAUUCAUGCUGUGGAAAUAAAACUUACGACAGUGUCGAUUUCUCAGAUCCGCUUGUAGACUUGGAAAUUUGCAUCAGAUUAUUCUAAUCACUUAGCCUUGUUGUAUAUAUUUACACAAGCACUUUUGAUGUUUAAACAGACCAGGCUGUAAUGAGAUAGGCGCGGGGAAAUAAAUACCCCAAAGAAAAGGAAUGUUCUCUUUUUUUCAGGCCGCUUCCUAAACUAGAAAUGUUCAGCUAAAACAGUGGGUCAGUGCCUUUGGGACCUGAGGGAAUGACUCUAAGGGUGGAAGCACGGAGGGAUGGAUCUGCCUUCAGAUGCAGUGGGCAGAGAGAAGAGCAUCUGGGUGCCUGUGAGGGUGAGGAGCGUGCUGAGGACUUGUCCUUCUGUGCCCUUUGUUACAGCUGUAAGCCGCCUCCUUGGCCAUCCUGGCACAAGAAACUAUUCCACAUGAACCCUAGAUGUCAAUAUGCAGUGACACAAGUUUCUAGAGGCUGAGCAGGAAGAGGAUCAGCUCCACUGAUUUCAGUGGCAACAGUUGCAGACACAGCAAAAAGUCCUGGGACUGACUGUGGUGCAAUUGUGCUGGCUCAGCUCCAGACAUGCAGGAAGUCCUGCAGCAUUGUGUUCCUGCAGGCAGGAGGCCUGGUAAGCACAGCAGCCACACAAUCAGGUUAACUCAGUCUUGAGGCUGGCUCCAUUAGAUCAAGAACAACAGGCAAACAGAAGCAGCCCAUACAUAGCAAAUGUAGAAAAAGGUGGAGAAGUAGACCAGGUGAAGGAGAGACAGGAAUCUUAUGGACUGAAGAAGACAAGAAAUCUUACCCUAAGAUGCAGGAAAUUGCCAAUUGUUUCAUUUACAGUUCAGCUUCACAAAGGCCAGGGGAUCGUAUUUACAUUUGCAUGAUAGAACACAAAGAAUACUUGCAAUUCUUGAAAUAGCAGAAAGGGAGAACAUUCUGGAUGACCCUGUUGUUAACGUAGUCUUGAAGUGGAAUCUGGAACAAAUCAGCCAUUACACAAUAAACCACUCAAAAGACUACAAAAAACUGCGUGUCAGCACAGUUUUAAUUUUGUAACGGGAGUUAGUGAAGUUUGUGUGUAAGAACUUAAAGAAAGAAAAAGAGAAGCUUGUUCUGAGAAGAUGCACUUCCAUAAACUCAGUGACAGAUGAGAGCAGACUUUGUAACUCUCACACUGAAAGUGAUCUAUCCACUUAGACAUGCAAAUGUCAUUUUGAAUAAGUCUAACAUCUUGAAUUGUCAACGGUGGGAAGAGGUUUCUCUAAAGGCAAGUUGUAUUCUUCAGUUAUCCUAAGCUUGUAAACCAUGUAGAACCAAGGGGGAAAAAAAAGAACAAAAUUGAAAGAUUCUGCUUUACUAGCAUUUGGUGACUGAAAGAUUCCGCUUUACUAGCAUUUGGUGACUGAAAGAGCUCAUUAAGAUAACAUUUUCCACUUUAUAACCGCUUCACAAGCAAAUAUUCCUGGCAGCACUGCUCCUCUCAUACUUAGGGAUACUUUAAAGAGGAUGGCCAGGACCUUUGCCUGGGCCAGAAGAGAAGCAAGCGCAUGGCCAGUGCUGGCUGGGCAGUCUCUGAGCACAUUCCUCUGCCCUCCAUGGAUGCAGCAGCAGUAACACCCCAGGGCUUUCAUUCUAGCUGACUUGUUUUGUCUUAUUCCUAACUUGCAAGUUAUAUGCCUUGUUGCACCGGUAACUUCAUGAGACUCUGUGACCCACUUGAAGCAUGGUCAGAGACUAAUGGUCCCUCUUCACCUUAAAGGACAUGCACUUGUGAAAUGAUCAGAAGUACCAGGAGAUUCACAACUUUUCUCCUUCACAGAAGUAUGACAAGACAUAGAUAGCACACACAGUGGGAAUCAUGUCAUUUUCCCUCAGCAGCAACUGAUUCAGCAGCACCAUCUUGACCUAUGCCAGCUACUGCUUCAGCUCCUUGCCUGUAGGAGAGAGACAAAUGGACUUUGAUAGCUAUCCAACAUGAGCAGAACUCUCCCAUGGUGGACAGGUUUGGAAUACUCCAGGUCUAACAAAAUGGGAGCUCCUAUCAGUUCCACCCUGAGGUCUCAUGGAUGCCUCGAGUAGCUUUGCAGCUCCAUUGUGACAUUACACCAAUUUUCCAUCAUGACCAGCAUGAUCCUACUUGGAUAUUCCAGGUGGUGUCCUGUCCUUACCUCCUAAGGGAUAGCUCAUGUCUGACAGCAAAAGCAGAUUUCAAUGAUGUUCUUGAUUUAAAUCCAGAAAACAACAUCUUGAUGAACUCAUGCUCCUGGUUAUUAGUAGAGACUACCAGAUUGCUGCACAUCAGGGAGGGGAACUGCAUUUUCCUUCUCAACUUCUUGUAACCUAAAGGAGUAGAAAGACUGCUUUAUGCUUAUGGUCGAUAGGGUGCACGGUGUGCACAGAGAAAUCACACUUCAUCUUGCAAAUUUAUCAUACUAUUAUUCUACAGUUUUUCUACAGCUAAAACCUACAAGUUGCUAAAAUUGCUACCAUUGUUAAAUGCUACUCAGACCUGAAAUACAUCUAUAGUUAUCAAAACUGAGCUGGGAAGCCAAUGGGUAUAAGAGACCUAACUGUGAAUGUCUUGCUCCAGGUUACUUUCUGUAGUUGGUAAUAGAGAGAAAGAAAGAAAGAUUUGCAUUAGCAGUUCUGAUCCAAGCAGAACGUAGUAAAAUUGGGAAUCAUUUUCAUGUAAACACCUAAUUAAGCUUUGAGUUCUAGUUUAGUUUUGGAAGCAAGUUCUGAAGUACUUAUAACAAGGAUUAAAAGAUGUAACAAAGGGACAAGAGUCUUGAAACAGCUCCUGAAGUCAGGGUUGCUCACCUUUCUGCUUCCUGAUUAAGGCAAAGAUAACAUCUGCAAUAAACUGGAGUGAACUGAUUGAUUUGCUUGAGAAGUUUCCAAAAGCAUAAGUACCUUUUCCUGAAGCAACCUAUCGUGACAAAAAAAAAAUCCCUUUCCUCUUAAAAAAAAAAAUCACAUACAAAAUAUGCACAUUUCAGCACUUUUCCUCCCUGAGGCUUUCUCAGUCUAGGAAAAAAAAGAGAUGUUUUUUUCCAAUUGCCUGUAAAAGGUUUGCAUCUCUGCCAGGUGGUUUGCAUCUGACAGUCAAAUACUGCUGAUGAGAAUCAUCAGUUCCUUCAAGGACUUGACAUUGCAUCCAAUUUGUUUCGCAAGUGAGUGUGUAAGGAAGUGACUGCAGCUAUUAUUCUGUUAGAUUUAGUCAAAACAUCCCCAGAAGAGGUAGGAGGGCAUGCUGGGAAUUGUUUGAUGAGCCUGCUGGGAGAAUAAUUACAUGGCCAGCAGUUUGUUCACUUUAUCUUCUGUAGCACUUUCUUAGUGCCUUUUGUGUGGUUUGAGUACUCGGCUUUUUGAAUGAAAGAAUAUUUACUGCUAUUGUCUCUCCAGCUAAUUCCCAGAUUAUGCUGUCUCAGAUGUGCAUUCUGGGAUAAUUCUGUGUUACAUUAAGUAUUAUGAAAUUUAAAUAUUUUCUUCAAUAUUCUCUUCCUUACUCGAGAUGGAAUUUUCUGCACCAUAACUGUGACUGAACUGGGAAGAGUUGCCCUCUGAUUAUGAUGCUUACACAGACCAUAGGACCAAUUCUGCUGUAAUCUUGCUGCUCUGAGCAGGACGAAUGUCAAAACUUGCAACUUCAAGACAAUUUUUUGGGGUUAAAAUGGCACAUAUAAACGUUGAUUUUGUUUUUAAUGUAACGUCUUACAGCUUAAAGCUUUCAAGAGUAGCCUAGGUAGCAGGGAAACAAAGAUCUGUUAGAGUUUCAGUUUGUUUCAGCAGCUUUUGAAAAAAAUAAAUGGGUAUGAGCCCCUGGAAGACAGCAUGUGGAAGUAUUACCAAAAUAUUAAUUCUGAGGUGACAGGAAAAUCGAAAGCUAUGAAAGGAAUCACAUUUAAAACUGGAAACUGUGCUUAUUCAGCUGACUACAAGGGGGUCCAUGACAGCUGUGGGCGCCUUCUAUAAGGCAGGGAUGCAAUAAAAAAGGUGGUAAUAGCAAACCUCAUCCAGCAAUCCACCUUCCAAGAGCAGUCUGACUGCUCCUCUCUAGACCAGUUCUCUUCUCAGCUGCUGUUCCUGAUCCAGCAGACCUGUGUGUGUGUAUCCUAAGCCAUCAGUCUCACAUCUCUCUGGUGGGUGCAGUAUGUGUGCUUUUUGGCACUCCAGGAGGAAAUACAUGGCUGCACAUCCCUUGUUUUAAAUAAAUUGAAGUGAAUACAAAAGAAGGAGAAGAGAAAAGUAAAGGAUGUAAAAAUUACCAUACCAGAGCCUUUUGCUGCUAGAAAUAUGGAUAAAAAAUAUUGCUUGUGACUCCAGUGAAAUGAGCCUGCUCUUAGAAAGCCUUCUACAAUCUAUCUUGUUUGUGCACUUUAGACUUCAGAAGAACUAACCUUAUUGGAAUAGAGUUGGAAACAUUGGAUCAUUGGCCAAAGCUUUAAAGAAAAUGUUUCCUUGCUACAGAAAGAACAUUAGCAUUCUCACAAAGAAGGUUCCAUAGAAACAAGAAAUACAUUUUUACAGCAAAACUCCCUUUGAUGUGAAUCUUGAGCAAAGCACAAAAAAAAGGGCCAGUGGGAUUCUAUUUCCUUCUGUGUACGCUUUUGCAAUUCUUUUUUUUUUUUUUUUUUUUUUGCUAAUGGGCCACCUGGGAUAUUGUCUUUCUGGUGACUGAACUAAGGCACCUUAGCAGGGUGGGAGGGAUACAAAGGAUUCCUCAAAGGAACGCACUUGCUCUAAGCAGCUUCUCAGAGGGAAAUAUUUCUGUGUCUUUUACCCAUCUUUUCGGUUUCUUCACAAUGUCUCCUUCACCUUACAGUUGCACAGCAGAAGUGCAACUUGAAUUACCAGCCAGCAUCAGCUCCAGCAAUCUGCUCCUGACAGAAGCUAGUGCUGGAGAAAAAAAAUCAAGAAAUUACCUUACUGGCAACAAAGAAAUGUCAGGUUUAAAAGAAAACUGUUACACAGAGAAAUCACUUAAACUGUGAGGAAAUUGAUAAAAGAAAAAUGCCUACUGAGGAAGAACGAGGACCUUAUAAUGUGACAUGCUCAGAAAGUCACUUACAUGACUUCUGAUGUACAUUUGUCCCAGUUGAACAGAACAAGUAUCAAGGCUAUGCAAUUACUGAAUGGUAAGCUCACCUAUAUCACUAAACACCUGCCAAGAAGAAUAUUGCAAAAAAAUCUCAAGACAUACAAGCUGGGCUGAAGAAGCAAUAGUUCCAGAAGGAGUGGAUUUGAAUGGUCAUUAUUGUUUUCAAGUUGGAAGGAACCCAUGUGGAUCUUUAUCAAACAGCUCUGUAACUGAAAGAAACAUAAAUACUGGAGAUGUAAAAAAAAAAAAAAAAGCAUAAUUUAAAAAAAUAAAUAAUCAGUAAGUGAAUCAAAACAGACUGUCAGAAAUGGAUGGGCAACUUCCACAGUUGUAUUGAAUUCGCUAUGCAGUUACCUUGUUUUUAAAGAAACAUUUCCUAGGUUCAGCCUUCUUGGGAUGCUGUAAACACCUGAGGUAAUUCAGUGGUUUGCAUAUAUCAAGGGACAAGUUUCACUUCCGUGGAAUUUAAGAGGGAAACUCCCAUUAACACACAGAAAAUUACAAAUGAAAUUUCAAGAAAGCUUAUAAAUCCAGUGGGUCAAUUUAGGUGCAUUUGUUCCCCCCAGACAAGAAGCAAAACUUUGAGGACAACUUUCCCACAUGCUCCCAACAUAGGAAUUAUCCAGAAGUGGUGAGUUAAUCAUAAAGCAAUUGGAUACUUUCACACAGUUUCUUAAUGUAUUUGAUCCACUAAGUUUCCCAAUCAAUUUCUUUUAGCACCUGAAAUGCAUAUAGUUCAUCUACCACUUAGAAAAUACAAAGGUUUUAGGAACUUUUUCAAACAUAUACUUUGGUAUUUAUACCAAGAAGUCAAAAGGAGCAGAGAGAACUUCUCCAGGUUGUGUUAAGAGAGCUAGCUGCCUUUGUAGCGUUAACAGUGGUAACUCAUAUACAGAAAAUGUAUUUGUGUCCAGUGGCAUUUCUAUAUAUCAAUAUUCAUUCAGAAGAAAGAAUACAAACAAAAAGCUGCACUCAGGAGAAGGAUUGAUGAGAGCCUGUAUAUAGUUACGUUAACUUCUAUAUCCUGGAACAGAUCUAAGCAUUUCAACGUCCUCAGUAUUCCUGUUGGUAACUGAGAAAGUUCUCUGCAAGUGAGAUAGAGAAUCCGACUGUUAGGUGCCUAGUUAGCUAGAAUGCCUCCCCAGAGCACUACAUAAUUAAGGGAGGAAAAGAGAGGCUGCAAUUCAUGAUCCUCACUUUCUUUGGCUACCACAUUGCUAAGUGGAGUUUAGGGUACCUAAUGCCGUGAAAUACCUGGCUUUCAAAGUGUCAAUUCCCUGAAUAAAUCAGUCUGAAAGAGAGCAUGUAACCAAUGUCACCUCCAAAUUACACUCUAAAUAUCCAGUUAAAUGAUCAAUUAAGUAAUGUUCCACAUUAAGGAACAGAAAGGAAGGGGCACAACAAUAAAUUUCACAAAUACAGGAAGUGGUGCCUGGGAAGGAUUGCCCACAUUAAAAAUUUACCAUCUAAUCCUCUGUCUGCUUGCCUCCCCUGACCAUGGCUGUUUUAUGGUUCAGUGUUUGGAAUACCAACAAGAAAAUCUUCAAAUUUCUAUUGCAGACCAUAACAACUUGGUUAUUUCUGAGGCACAUAAUGUUCAUUUACGUCUAUCAUUUCCAAUUCUCAUGCUACGAUUCACGCGCAUUCCCUUUUCUUUUUGAUAAUAGUAAGAAUAAAGACUUGCAUCUGAAAAGCUGUUCUGAAAGGCAGGCAACAAAUAGUAGAGGAUUCCCAAGCUGGACAGAAAGCAGAAUUUACUCAAGACACAGAUGUAACAACACCAGAUGUGUAGGUGUCUGGUCUAGUAUUAGAUAUGGAGGCUGGCAGCCCUGCCUGUGGCAGGAGGGAUGGAGCUUGAUGAUCCUUGAGGUCCCUCCCAACCCAAGCCAUUCUGUGAUUCUAUGAUCCAUCUUCAUAUUUUGUUUUUGAAGUUCUGAGCAAUAAAAGUUGUUUGUAAAACUA